UAGGGAAUAUUAGUAAUGGGCGAAAGCCUGAACUAGCAACACCGCGUGUGCGAUGAAGGCCUUCGGGUUGUAAAGCACUUUUAGAGAGGACGAGGAAGGACGGUACUCUCUGAAUAAGUCUCGGCUAACUACGUGCCAGCAGCCGCGGUAAAACGUAGGAGGCGAACGUUAUCCGGAUUUACUGGGCGUAAAGCGCGUGUAGGUGGUUUGUUAAGUAGGGCGUGAAAGCUCCUGGCUCAACUGGGAGAGGUCGUUCUAAACUAACAGACUAGAGGAUGGUAGAGGGAGGUGGAAUUCCGGGUGUAGCGGUGGAAUGCGCAGAUAUCCGGAGGAACACCAGUGGCGAAAGCGGCCUCCUGGACCAACCCUGACACUCAGACGCGAAAGCUAGGGUAGCAAACGG
rnacentral:rRNA from 1 species